GGCCGGCUGGCCUAAUGGUAAGGCGUCUCUUUCCGGUGAGCUGAUGCUGGAACUUGGAGAAGAUUGCAGGUUCGAAUCCUGCGUCGGUCG
rfam:Coccidioides immitis RS genomic scaffold supercont3.4, whole genome shotgun sequence.